UUCUCUCCUCACUCUGCUCGACCUAGACCUGCAAAACUGAAAAACUCAAACACUGGCCUCUCUCCUUCUCAUCAGCUCUCUCAACUCUCUCAAAUCUUGAUUCUCUCUCUCUCCUUCAUCUUCUCACUCUCUCGAUUCUUCUUCAUAGUCUUUCCUUCUUCUUCUUAGUCUCUACUUUAUCUUUCACGUCCGGAUUAAUGGAGCUCUCCAGCAACCAGAAGAGUUGUUUCCGAUUCAGAUUAUUGACGGCUUAUGUUCAAAAAGGAGUUUGACAGCAGCUAUGUGGGAUUUAUGAAGGAUGGAGCCAAGUGGUUGGUGGAGAACACUGAAAUCCUUCUUUGUGGCUGGAUUUGUGAAAUACAAAGUGGGUGUUAGCAAUUGGAAUUUUAUUUGCUGUAGCAAUUGAUUGGCUGUAUUAGCUGCUGAAACCUAAGGCUUGAGGUAGGGAAAGCAAACUUUUCUCUAUAGCUUUGAUUAUGAUUUGGUAUGUAAUUGGUGUGAUUGUGUUGGAACAUUUUCCUCUGCGAUUUUUAAGUGAAAUUUGACAAGCAGAGAGUCACACCCCAAACAUCUAACCAGAUUGUAGAUGGUUUAGUUUAGUUACUACCUGGAUAUGAAAAGCCAAAUGGGGUAUUAAUGCUUCAUGCAUCCUCUUUGUAUUCCCUUGUUUACUCUCCAAUAUAGUAGCUAUUCUUUUGGCUUGUAAGCUAGUUCUUUUUGUUGUGUCUCUCUUGUUUACUCUCAAAACAAACCAACUUUAAAAUCAAAACUUCAUAUUGUGGUUAAAACAGCUUUGCUGAAUUUUCUGAGAAAGCUGCUGAUCUGUUAACUUUGAGCUUUGUGUUGCCCUACUUACUGAUCUCCAAAUGUCAUGAAAUUUUGAUAUAUUUCUUUUCUGCUAGUUAAAAAAUGAUCUGGAAAGUUUCACCUUAUUUCCAUGUAUAAUGAAUCUUCAGUGAUUUUUCUUUUGAGUCUGGUCUGCUUUGGCAAAGUUCCAGAAUUUUUAGUGUACCCUCUAAUUUUCUGCUGAGAUUUGAACUUCUAUUUGAAUCAUUUAACCUAUGGUCUUUGUAUAUAUUGAAUUAGACAUUCCAAUAGUUGUUUCAAAAUUGAUUUCUUGUCAAUUGGUUGUAAAAUGUAUUUUUGGUGGAUUUUCUAUUUUGAUUUUACUGCUGCUAUAUUUUUCUGAAACCUGACAGUUCAGUCUAUUUGUAUCCAUCAUUUCCCUUACUUCUCAAACUCUGAUUAGUUUGAAAUUUAAGUAUGUCGUACCUAAAUAUGUCAGCUUUCGUUCUGGAAAAUUUCAACUUCAUUGUUGCAAAAUGAAUUUUUCAUAAAUCCUCAAAGUAAACUGUUCCUGCCUAAAUGUUACACUUUAAGUUGUGUCAAAUUUGGUCUUUUUCUGAAUUUCUUUUGCACGAGAUCGCUGGGGAAUGAAGCGUAUGAAUGUUGGGACAAGCAGAGCUCAGAAGGAGUUGAAGCACCUGAAGAUUUUGAGGAUGGCAGUGAUUUACAUAAUGAUGUUUGUGUUGAUUGUGUGGACUGUGGAGGUUGCUAUGAUCAAUAUUGUUGCUCCAAUCUACCAAAGAUUCGAAGGAAUGCCUGAUGAUUUCCUUGGUUUACUUGACAUGAAGUGCUUAUAUGGAUGGGGAAGAGAAAAAGAAUAUGGUUGUUACUCAAUUCGAAGCUGUGGAUGCGAGGAUGUGCUUUCCAUGUUGGGAUGAAUGUGCUCUCAAGGCUAGCUUCAAGAUAGCAUUAGAUGUACCAUCAGAGCUGACAGCUUUAUCCAAUAUGCCUAUUGUUAAUGAAAAGUUUGAUGGAGAUGUUAAGACUCUGUAUUUUGAGGAAUCUCCAAUCAUGUCAACUUAUUUGGUGGCUGUUGUUGUUGGCCUAUUUGAUCAUAUUGAAGAUACAACAUCUGAUGGGGUAAAGGUUCGUGCAUAUUGCCCUGUUGGGAAGAGUGAUAAAAGGGGAAUUUGCUUUAAAUGUUGCUGUUAAGACCCUUGAUCUUUUCUCCAAAUACUUCUCAACGCCAUACUCACUCCCCAAACAUGAUAUGGUUGCGGUUUCUGAAUUUUCUGGUGGGGCCAUGGAGAAUUAUGGUUUGAUCACAUACUGUGAAAAUGAAUUGCUUUUUGAUCCUUUGCAUUCCACAGCAGCAAGAAAGCAAAGAGGAAAAUCGUCCGUACCAUACCUGACGUUUGGCCCAUUCUAAACUUUCGUACCUCACGUUUAGAAAAUAUCAUAACGGUACCUGAGGUUCUGACCCCGACCAAAGUUUGGUACCUAGAGCCGUUAGCUCUGUUACGGAAAAUGCAUGCUGAAGGAUAUUUUCGUCUUUUCAUGCCAUAAUUCAUUAUUUUUUUUAUCUUAGUAUUUUUUUUCUAUUUCUUUUUUCUCUAUCUCCCUAUUGUUCCUCUCUCUCUCUCUCUGAACCUUUAAACAAUCCCACUUCAAUGUCCAAAUUCCACAACCCAUUACUCCAUUAGUCUCAACCAUCCAAAAUGAGCUUCAAGAAGCUCAAAGCUUCAAACUUUGGCUCGUUUCUUUUAUAUUCAACGGUUUCCCCACAACCCAAAUCUAUAUACAUAAUCCCUGAGCUAGUCCUCUUCUUCUCAUCUUCUCCUAUUUCGUUUCCCAGAAAAAAAGAUAAGGCCCCCAUCAAUUGAUUCAAUUCCAAACAAUCAGCAACUGAAGCAAGCCAACAUGGAUUUUAUAUACCCAAUCAAUAAGAAACAAUGAUUUCAGAAAACCCAUUGAAUUACUCGAAUCAAUAGACCCAAUCGUAAACCAAAGAAUUGAAAUUGAUUGAAAACUGAAUAACAAGGAGAGACAGAGACGGAGACAGAGGCUGGAGAUUGAGAGAAAGGAGCAAUAUCAGAGAUGAAGUUCUGAGCCUCAGAAUCGGAUUGAGGUCAGGUGCUAGAGAGAGAGAGAGGCGCGCGGUGGUCGACGACGGAGUCAUGGUCACUACGGUGGUCGAUUGAGAGAGGCUGAUUUCACUGGAACAUCGGAACCGAUGACAACACCUAUCCGAAAACUAAAACCGAGACAUCGGAGUACAAUUACUUCCACAACAUACCAAAAUCCCAACCGGCCGCCCACAUAAACCGCUCAUAUUCCCAGUCGGAGAAGUACACCCAGUCCGAAACUGAGAGAUCAGAGUACGAUUUCUUCGUCCCCAACCGUAACCCUAAAGCUUCGACCAAGGCUCAGUUGGAGAAGUAUGCUCAGUCGGAGAGAGAAGAGGUCCAGUGCAGCGAAUGGGGCGAUAACGAUCACUACAGCACAACGAGCUCGUCUGAAAACGAAGACGACGACAGGGAUUCGAGAUCCGAGAUGGGGACCCGGUCCAUUUUCGACCCGUCGAUUCGGGCCGAUGUCGAAGUAUGCGCCGAGCAUGAGGUCGGAGGAGUCGGAAGGGAGUACUUAGCGGAGCAAUGAAAUCUCAAACGUGAAAAUGGUGGUGAGGCAUAAAGACUUGAAGGAGAUUGUGGAGGAGAUUAAGGAGAAUUUCGAUAAGGCUGCGGCGGCCGGAGACCAGGUUUCCGAGAUGCUCGAGUCUAAUAGGGCCCAGCUUGAUCGAAGCUUCUGCCCAACCUCAGCGAUUUGACAUUAAUUGAGUCGGAACGCCCAAUUCCUUCGCCGCCUUCAUAAAUUUUUUUUGCUUUUUUUAUUAUAUGAAAAAAAUUAAGGAAAACGAAAACAAAAGGGUAUAUUGGUCAUUUAAUGAUCAAAAUCCUUCAACUGUCAAUUUUUGUAACGGAGCUAACGGCUCCAGGUACCAAACUUCGGUCGGGGUCAGAACCUCAUGUACCGUUAUGAUAUUUUCUAAACGUGAGGUACGAAAGUUUAGAAUGGACCAAACGUCAGGUAUGAUACGGACGAUUUUGCUUUGUAACUCUUUUCUUGUGUUUUCAGAUGGCAAUUGUUGUAUCACAUGAAGUAGCACAUCAGUGGUUUGGCAAUCUGGUAACAAUGGAAUAGUGGACUGAUUUAUGGCUUAACGAGGGUUUUGCAACAUGGGUACUUUUGAGACUUUCAGCUCUCUACUUUUUGAUUUGUUUUAUGCCUGCUUGAUCAUGUUUUGCCAGAUAAGUUAUAUGGCCACUGAUAUUUUGUUUCCUGAGUGGAAAGUUUGGUCUCAAUUUCUUCAACAAACUACUGGUGGACUAAUUAUGGAUGCACUGGAACAUUCACAUCCAAUUCAGGUAGAGGUACACCACGCACGUUCAGUUCUUGAAAUAUUCGAUGCUAUCAGCUAUAAAAAGGGAUCUGCUGUUAUACGAAUGCUGCAGGCUUAUCUUGGUGAUGAUAUAUUCCAGUCAUUCUAGGUUGCUGGCGAUGUUACAUAGUCACCCACGUGUUGAGAAAUGGCAAGCCAAGAACCGAGGAAAACUGAAAGAGCAAAAGAAGCCUAAACUUAGCCUAGAGUGUACAAAAACGGGCAGUCCAUUUCUACUAUUAAAGUUUCAAGCUUCGAUACUCCACCUGGAAGCUAUGGAAACUAUAACCAUGGUACUUGUCACGCUCCAAACUCUACCCAUGUGCUAAAUAAGGUACCCUCACAGUAGUGUCACACUGCUACUGUUUUGCUUCAGUUCAGGGUAAAAGUUUUUCCAUUUACCCAAGUUCAAGAUCAAUAAAACCUUAGGGUCAAACUUGCAGUACUGCUAGCUACUUUGCUAUGUUGUUUACUUGGUUGCCCGGAUUGUGUAGUGCUUCUAGUUUAUUAGCUUGUAGUACUGCAUACAUAUAUUUUGCUGGCUGCCCAGAUUAGUAGAUAUGGGCCAUUUUGGACUGAUGCUCAUGAUUAGGUUUGUGUACAUGAGACAAUGAUGGAUUAAUGGAAAUUACAAUGAAUGAUUUUGGAUGUGGA